rnacentral:lncRNA from 1 species
GGGCACACGUGAACGCUCGGUACUCCCAGAACAAUAAAAUACCUGUUGGACGGUAAUAGAGAGAAAAAAACAGAACUUAAGCCUCAGCUAUUACCCUGCAGAAAUAGAGAGUCAAAUCAGAAGAAGGAAGUGUGCCCUAAAGGCAGCUGAUCUGCACCAAAAUUGAGGCAUGGAGUCGAAAUAUUUACAUCUUUCUAAUAUCGUCUUAUUGAUUAUUACUGUGCCACAGAUAUGCAAAGCACAUGACAUCACGUUAUCCGUGUUCACCGUCACUUCCAAAAGUAUGACGGUCCGUUGGAGCGGACAUACCGGCGCGAGCUCGUACAAAAUCACCGCCACGCCGAAAAACUCCCCAGAACCGUCGGUUUUCGCGCAGUUCAGCGGCAGCACGGUGAUGGGCUCCGUUAACUCGCUAUCCCCGAACACUGUGUACCGGAUGCGGGUCGAAGCCAUGGACAACGCGGUGAACGUGCUCAGCAGCGCCGAAACGGAGGAGACGACAGGUUUUACUGACUUUUGUUUUGAGGCGUUGGACAAGCUGUCCAUGAUUAAUUACAAAA